rnacentral:lncRNA from 1 species
ACGGUUGGCGACGACGCAAUCUCGGCAAAAGAGUUAUGCCGAUAAGCGGAGAAAAGAUUUAGAGUUCGUGGUUGGAGACCGUGUAUUUUUUAGAGUAUCCGCAUCUAUUCGAAUCGACGAGUUAAGGUAUGCGUAAUUUCGCGGAAGAAAUUAUUUUAAGAGGUAGAGAAUGUAAUAUACCGAAAAUUCGGAAAAUAAAUAUCGAACUUUAGUCAAAUUGACCAAAGUGCGAUGAUGGUACACAUCGAAAAGUCCGAAGGUGUUAAAAUGAUCAAGAGUGCGUUGUGGAAGGUUUUCGAGAGCUAAAGAAUCAAAUUCUGCAAAACUGCAGAUUUUGAG